rnacentral:rRNA from 1 species
UUCGCAAUGCCCGAAAGGGUGACGAAGCGACGCCGCGUGGGUGAAGAAGGCCUUCGGGUUGUAAAACCCUGUCAGGAGUUAUGAAAUGUAAGUGCGCUAAUAUCGUGCUUAUUUGACAAAGGCUCCAAAGGAAGCCACGGCUAACUCUGUGCCAGCAGCCGCGGUAAUACAGAGGUGGCGAGCGUUGUUCGGAAUUAUUGGGCGUAAAGAGCACGUAGGUGGGUUUGCAAGUCAGAUGUGAAAGCCUUCUGUUCAACGGAAGAAUUGCAUCUGAAACUGCUGAUCUUGAGUAUAGGAGGGGAGAAUGGAACUUCUGGUGGAGCGGUGAAAUGCGUAGAUAUCAGGAGGAACGCCGGCGGCGAAAGCGAUUCUCUGGCCUAUUACUGACACUCAGUGUGCGAAAGCUAGGGGAGCAAACGGGAUUAGAUACCCCGGUAGUCCUAGCCGUAAACGAUGGGCACUAAGUAGAGGGGUUUU